rnacentral:rRNA from 1 species
UACGGAGGGUGCAAGCGUUAUCCGGAUUCACUGGGUUUAAAGGGUGCGUAGGUGGGCAGGUAAGUCAGUGGUGAAAUCUCCGGGCUUAACCCGGAACUGCCGUUGAUACUAUUUGUCUUGAAUAUUGUGGAGGUAAGCGGAAUAUGUCAUGUAGCGGUGAAAUGCUUAGAUAUGACAUAGAACACCAAUUGCGAAGGCAGCUUACUACACAAUCAUUGACACUGAGGCACGAAAGCGUGGGGAUCAAACAGGA